UACGAGGGGGGCAAGCGUUGUUCGGAAUUAUUGGGCGUAAAGGGCGCGUAGGCGGCGCCACAAGUCACUUGUGAAACCUCUGGGCUCAACUCAGAGCCUGCAAGCGAAACUGUGGUGCUGGAGUAUGGGAGAGGUGUGUGGAAUUCCCGGUGUAGUGGUGAAAUGCGUAGAUAUCGGGAGGAACACCAGUGGCGAAGGCGACUUCCUGGCCUGUUCUUGACGCUGAGGCGCGAAAGCUAGGGGAGCAAACGGG
rnacentral:rRNA from 1 species